CGCCUGGGGAGUACGGCCGCAAGGUUAAAACUCAAAUGAAUUGACGGGGGCCCGCACAAGCGGUGGAGCAUGUGGUUUAAUUCGAUGCAACGCGAAGAACCUUACCUGGUCUUGACAUCCACGGAAGAAUUCAGAGAUGGAUUUGUGCCUUCGGGAACCGUGAGACAGGUGCUGCAUGGCUGUCGUCAGCUCGUGUUGUGAAAUGUUGGGUUAAGUCCCGCAACGAGCGCAACCCUUAUCCUUUGUUGCCAGCGAUUAGGUCGGGAACUC
rnacentral:rRNA from 3 species